UAUCUUUUUGAAUUUUUCAGUUGCGAAAUACGUCACGAGCGUGCGACGAGCUUCGGGCUUCGGGGGGAAUCGGGAUUGCCGGGCGAAUUGACAAGCGGAGUAUCGCGUAUCUCGCGUUAUUUACACGCUCGAAGUGCAUCGCCGAAUAAAGUGCCGAGUGGCGGCUAAUUAACGCGCGCGGUAAUUAGUCAUGUUUUUCGCGUCCGUGUGAGUGAUUCCCGUUCGACGGCGAAGGAGCUCGGAUCGACAGGAUGACAUCGGCUGAUGGAUACGAGAUCUUCGUUCUCGGAUGUUGCAGCAGGCUUGCAGGUCUGAUUUUUGCGCAACGUCUUGAUCAGAAGCUAUUUGCGGCAAAAGAGAUGCAGC